AUUGAACGCUGGCGGCAUGCCUUACACAUGCAAGUCGAACGAUAACAGGUCUUCGGAUGCUGACGAGUGGCGAACGGGUGAGUAAUACAUCGGAACGUGCCCGAUCGUGGGGGAUAACGCAGCGAAAGCUGUGCUAAUACCGCAUACGAUCUACGGAUGAAAGCGGGGGAUCUUCGGACCCCGCGCGGACGGAGCGGCCGAUGGCAGAUUAGGUAGUUGGUGGGGUAAAGGCUCACCAAGCCUGCGAUCUGUAGCUGGUCUGAGAGGACGACCAGCCACACUGGGACUGAGACACGGCCCAGACUCCUACGGGAGGCAGCAGUGGGGAAUUUUGGACAAUGGGCGCAAGCCUGAUCCAGCCAUGCCGCGUGCAGGAUGAAGGCCUUCGGGUUGUAGACUGCUUUUGUACGGAACGAAAAGUCUCUUUCUAAUAAAGAGGGAUCAUGACGGUACCGUAAGAAUAAGCACCGGCUAACUACGUGCCAGCCGCCGCCGUAA
rnacentral:rRNA from 1 species